AUGUAAGUCAUAAAAUACACACAAGAAAAUUUAUGAUUCUUCUAUCACUGCUGGUCAUCACUGCUGGUCACUGUUCCGCAGCUUUUUGGUGAUAUUUCAUCGCCAUCGCCAUGCUCGAUUAUCAGUGCUUGCGUUUCUGCUCGCGCUUUGAGCUUCUCUAUUUUGAGAUUCUCAUGUUCGAUCAUUACUGCUCGCCCUUCAUCUCUGAUUUCUUCCAAUUUGUCGGCGUUCUUCUGCUAGUAUUCACCAUUGGCAGUCACUAUUCUGCAGGAUGGAACUCAAGUGCAGCUAAUGCCACUAAGUUCCAGAAAUAUCUCGCCGCAGAAAAUGGAGGAGGAGCUGAUCUUGUUGCCAACUGUACUUCAGCUUCAGCUUCAGGUUGGGAAACAUUCAAGCUAUGGAGGGUUAGUGACACAUCCUUCAAUUUUAGAGUGUUUAACAAGCAAUUUCUUGGGAUGGAAAAUCAAGGUAGUGGAAGGUUCAAUCGGAGACAUCAAUGACGAGAAUGGUUCCAAAGAUGCCCAUCGUAUUUAGCUUUUUUUCCUUUUAAGUACAUUUAUUUUUUUAAGGGUCUUUUAUUUAAUUAAUUUGCCAUAUUUUGUUAAGGGUCUUCUUGAUGAAUGAAUAUUGAAAAUGAUUUUCAUUUUCCAUCCGUUUAAAGUAGAAAGAAAAGAUUAUGGAUUAGGGUAGUAGCUCACCAACUUGCAUUGAGAGGUGUGGCAGAUUGCAAGUCGUUGAGUGACACCACCCACCUAAUAACAGCAUUAUUGAAGCCCCACCUUCUAAUAGAAGAACUCUAGAUACCUUUGGCCAGAGAACUUCAAUAUACCGUGGCGUAACAAGACAUAAAUGGACUGGAAGAUAUAAAGGUCAUCUUUGGGAUAAUAGCUACAGAAGGGAAGGACAAUCAAGAAAAGGUAGCCAAGUGUAUUUGGGUGGAUAUGAUAAAGAAGAUAAAGCAGCUAGGCUUAUGAUUUGGCUGUAUUGAAGUAUUGGGGGACAUCCACUACUACCAACUUUCCUAUCAGCAACUAUGAGAAGGAAUUGGAUGAAAUAAAACACAUGACAAGACAAGAAUUUGUAGUCGCCAUAAGAAGAUUUAGUAUAUGGGACAAGUCAAGCAUGGAUAUAAAAUAUGCAAGUAGAUUGACAUCUUGUUGAUAAAUAUUAAUUACUAUUUUGUUAUGACAAUUAUUGUUAGACAAGAAUUUUAUUA